GCUGCCGUUGGAGAGCGUCCCCGCCCCCAGAGCCUGAGGCCCGGCUGGGCGCUGGGGUCCGGGCUUCGUCUGUGAUGGUCGCUCUGCAGGGUCGAGAGAUCUGGCGUGAAGAUCUAGGCUGGGUGCUUGUCCCCGUGGCAGGGUGACUUGCCCACGCGGGGGACCCCCUUAGCCUAGGCCUGGACCUGAAAGGGCAGAACUCGAUCCUUGGGACCUUGAGCAAGUAAAAUGCAGGAAGUUUGCUAAUUAAGAUAACACCAAAGGUUAAAGACAAAAUCAUCUAGAGGAAAUGUCGGUAGCAUGGCAUGUGGGAAUUCAAGAAUCUCUACAGCAGAUACUCUUGUUAUAGGGACUAUCCAGAUUAUGAUUGGCAUCUUUGAAAUUUUCAUGUGGUAUCUCCUACUGGUUUUGUAUAUGGGACAAAUUAAAGGAGUCUUUGGAACAUACGAACCUAUAACUUACAAAACAGGAUGUACUUUAUGGGGAAUUUUUCCUAUCUUUUCAGGAGCCUUGACAUUAAAAGCAGCAAAGCAUCCAACUCGAUCCAUGAAACUUGGGAGGGAAGUUUCACGUAUUUUACUGAUGUUCUACCCCUUGGAAUUUGCUAUUGCACUUACAUAUUCGAUAUGCAGCUGUGUGAAUUUGGACUUUGCAGAUGUCUACUUACCUUUCUGGCCACUCCUCACCUCCUGUGCUGAAUUGUAUUCAUUUCCCUGAUCUCCUAACAUUAACAUUUAUCAUUUUCCCUCAUCUCACCCUUCCCACAAGUACGGUUCUUUUGCUGCUGAGGAAAGAGUCUUUGAUAGAGUAAAUAUGGACAAGGUCACAUAAGGUAAGAUUUGAACUUACAUCUGGCAAGAUUUGACUCUUUCCACUAUACCUUUCUAUACCCUCUUCAAUUUCGAGCAUCAAUGGGCCAUCUUUCAAGGGCAAUUUAAACCUUAAUAGUUCAUGGUUUAUAUAAACUGGAGAAAAAAAUUAUAAAUGAAGAAUUUGAAGACAGGAUCUUAGACUUCAGAUGUGGUUACAGAAGAGGUUAAAGAGACAGGAAAGAACCAUCAGGCGUUGGAGAGAGGGGAGAAUAGAUUGUCAAAGCUAUGUGAGAAAAGUUAGAAGAUAAAGCAACUAGAAAAUAAAAACUUUUUGGUUGCAAGAAACAAAAACUAUCUCUUACGAGUUUUAGCAAAAUUAAGAUAUAUAUAUAUUAUAAUAUACAAACAAGCAUAUUUACAUAAUGUCAGCCACAUUUCCUAAAGAAAUUGGAACUAGAAAAUGGAAAGCCAUCAGAAACUUGGGGAGUCCUGCUCCUCCUCCAUCUCUGUAUUCUGCUGGGUGUCCUCUAUAUUCUUCUCAUUCUCAAAACUUACUUUCUCGACCACUCUGUCCAUUAGGGUAGAUACUGCUCCUAAGUCUUUACAUCGUCUCAUCAAGAGACCAGCCCAAACCAUCUGGGAAAGAGGAUAUCAUGAGCCUAGCUUGAGUUAGAUGUUCACCUUUGACCCAAUCAGCUAGGAUCAAGGAAUAAUUAUCAUGGAUAUUAAAUAUGGCAGCUAGGGAGAACUGAUAUGAGUUGUACAGAAUAACAGAAUAAUAAAACUUAUACACAACUUUAACAAUAGCUAUCUGUUAGUUGUAAUUUUCUUAUCUAUUGAAUACCCUUCCUUCAUUUUUAUGGGUCCCUAACUUAUGAAGCCUACAUUUCCAAAGUAUAAUAUAUAGCACUUUAUUU